rnacentral:lncRNA from 1 species
UUUUUGUUUGGGAAAUAAAUGUAGUCACAACACCAUCAUUAUGAAACCAUACUUGGAAAUUCCAUUUGGAAACAAUCGUUAUCUGUUAUGUCUCCCAACACCAAUCAGUAGACUUUAAAACAUAUGCAUUCAAAAUUAAAAAAAAAAAAUGUGUACGGAAGAAGGGGGGUAUAGUAAAGGGGAGUAUAGUAAAAAGAUAGUAAAAAGGAGAGAAGGAAAGGAAUCAGAUCAUUAAGUUCUUCCAAGAGUAGGAUACUUUCCAGGAACAUAUAUGGACAGAGGUGAACUGUGUAGAGCAUCCUUUCUUUCCCCAGUUGCUUCAAAACACCAAGGGAGGCACUGAAUAUAUGAAUACCUCCUCCAAAGUGCCAGAGCAAAUGCUACUAGGCAGAUUCUGGAGUCCAUCGCAGAAUAUAUCGAAAAGACAAAUGCAUUAGAUAAGUUUACGAAGGUGCCUUCCAAUGAUUCUGUGAUUUGCAUCCUGCUACAGUAGUGGCCAGGACUGGCAGUUCAGCCUCAUUUCUGCUCAUCCAGGUUGCCCUGCAUCCAGACUUGGAGCCUGCUGUCUUCAGAGAGGUGAUACCUUAGAGACACAGAAGACGCUGCAGCAGAGGGAGAUCUGACUCCAACAUCUGUGAUGGAAAGCAAAGACCAGCAAGUCCUAUCUGGAAACUGGUUUGUUGAUGAGUCAGAUUGCUGUUCUACUAUCUGCACUGAGUUUGCACCAGCUGUAUCAGAAAUUCAGCACAGGAAAGGAAAAAAGUCAUUCACCUUGCAGAUCCAACAGCAGAAAGUACUCCUCAUGUCUUUGGCUCGAGACAGUCAAUAUAACAAAGGGCUUGUUUCAGGUUAUGUAACGUUAGAUGAUGGGGUCACAUGUUAGGAGCUACUCCAAAAAUAAAAAGGUUUAAAAAGACA